rnacentral:misc_RNA from 1 species
AAAAAAAAAGGGCAAAAUAUUCAUCAUAUGUAAAGAAAUAACCUACCCUCCGAAUUAAGAGAAAAGAAGUUGCCUUUCAACCCAUAGAGACAAAUACAAUUUGAUAAAAGAAAUUACUUUGAGUCUUGAAAGAUAACAAAUAAAAGGAGAGAAUUUUCUCUCUCUAGAUAUCUAGAGAGAAGUAGGCUUGCUUGUAAUUCAAUAACAAUAGAAAAAUAGAUGUUAUGGUUUCAAUUUCCAACCUUCUCUGACAUAAGAAAUGAGUUCAAUGUGAUAGGGAACCAUGUGAGUACUCAAAACAUAUUUGCUACUUAGAUGCCACAAACACUAAUAAAGA